CGAAUGCUGACGUAAGUAACGAUAAAGGGGGUGAAAAGCCUCCUCGCCGGAAGACCAAGGGUUCCUGUCCAACGUUAAUCGGGGCAGGGUGAGUCGACCCCUAAGGCGAGGCCGAAAGGCGUAGUCGAUGGGAAGCAGGUUAAUAUUCCUGCACGACUUGUAAUUGCGAUGGGGGGACGGAGAAGGCUAGGUGGGCCAGGCGACGGUUGUCCUGGUGAAAGUGCGUAGGUGGUGUUUCUAGGCAAAUCCGGAGACACAACACUGAGACACGAGACGAACACACUACGGUGUGGAAGCCAUUGAUGCCCUGCUUCCAGGAAAAGCCUCUAAGCUUCAGAUUACAAGUCAUCGUACCCCAAACCGACACAGGUGGUCGGGUAGAGAAUACCAAGGCGCUUGAGAGAACUCGGGUGAAGGAACUAGGCAAAAUAGAACCGUAACUUCGGGAGAAGGUUCGCUCUUGACAGUGAAGUCCCUUGCGGAUGGAGCAGUUGGGAGUCGCAGUGACCAGAUGGCUGGGACUGUUUAUCAAAAACACAGCACUCUGCAAACACGAAAGUGGACGUAUAGGGUGUGACACCUGCCCGGUGCCGGAAGGUUAAUUGAUGGGGUUAGCGCAAGCGAAGCUCUUGAUCGAAGCCCCGGUAAACGGCGGCCGUAACUAUAACGGUCCUAAGGUAGCGAAAUUCCUUGUCGGGUAAGUUCCGACCUGCACGAAUGGUGUAACCAUGGCCAUGCUGUCUCCACCCGAGACUCAGUGAAAUCGAAUUCGCCGUGAAGAUGCGGUGUACCCGCGGCUAGACGGAAAGACCCCGUGAACCUUUACUACAGCUUGGCACUGAACAUUGAACCUACAUGUGUAGGAUAGGUGGGAGGCUUUGAAGGCGUGACGCCAGUUGCGCUGGAGCCGUCCUUGAAAUACCACCCUUGUAUGUUUGAUGUUCUAACGCAGGCCCGUGAAUCCGGGUCGCGGACAGUGCCUGGUGGGUAGUUUGACUGGGGCGGUCUCCUCCCAAAGAGUAACGGAGGAGCACGAAGGUUGGCUAAUCCUGGUCGGACAUCAGGAGGUUAGUGCAAUGGCAUAAGCCAGCUUAACUGCGAGACGGACAGGUCGAGCAGGUACGAAAGUAGGUCAUAGUGAUCCGGUGGUUCUGAAUGGAAGGGCCAUCGCUCAACGGAUAAAAGGUACUCCGGGGAUAACAGGCUGAUACCGCCCAAGAGUUCAUAUCGACGGCGGUGUUUGGCACCUCGAUGUCGGCUCAUCACAUCCUGGGGCUGAAGUCGGUCCCAAGGGUAUGGCUGUUCGCCAUUUAAAGUGGUACGCGAGCUGGGUUCAGAACGUCGUGAGACAGUUCGGUCCCUAUCUGCCGUGGGCGUUGGAUGAUUGAAGGGAGUUGCUCCUAGUACGAGAGGACCGGAGUGAACGAACCUCUGGUGUUCGGGUUGUCACGCCAGUGGCACUGCCCGGUAGCUAAGUUCGGAAUCGAUAACCGCUGAAAGCAUCUAAGCGGGAAGCGAGCCCUGAGAUGAGUCAUCCCUGACCCCUUGAGGGUCCUAAAGGGCCGUUGGAGACCACAACGUUGAU
rnacentral:rRNA from 1 species